CGGCAGGCCUAACACAUGCAAGUCGAGCGGUAGCACAGAGAGCUUGCUCUCGGGUGACGAGCGGCGGACGGGUGAGUAAUGUCUGGGAAACUGCCUGAUGGAGGGGGAUAACUACUGGAAACGGUAGCUAAUACCGCAUAAUGUCGCAAGACCAAAGUGGGGGACCUUCGGGCCUCAUGCCAUCAGAUGUGCCCAGAUGGGAUUAGCUAGUAGGUGGGGUAACGGCUCACCUAGGCGACGAUCCCUAGCUGGUCUGAGAGGAUGACCAGCCACACUGGAACUGAGACACGGUCCAGACUCCUACGGGAGGCAGCAGUGGGGAAUAUUGCACAAUGGGCGCAAGCCUGAUGCAGCCAUGCCGCGUGUGUGAAGAAGGCCUUCGGGUUGUAAAGCACUUUCAGCGGGGAGGACGGCGGUGAGGUUAAUAACCUCAUCGAUUGACGUUACCCGCAGAAGAAGCACCGGCUAACUCCGUGCCAGCAGCCGCGGUAAUACGGAGGGUGCAAGCGUUAAUCGGAAUUACUGGGCGUAAAGCGCACGCAGGCGGUCUGUCAAGUCGGAUGUGAAAUCCCCGGGCUUAACCUGGGAACUGCAUUCGAAACUGGCAGGCUAGAGUCUUGUAGAGGGGGGUAGAAUUCCAGGUGUAGCGGUGAAAUGCGUAGAGAUCUGGAGGAAUACCGGUGGCGAAGGCGGCCCCCUGGACAAAGACUGACGCUCAGGUGCGAAAGCGUGGGGAGCAAACAGGAUUAGAUACCCUGGUAGUCCACGCCGUAAACGAUGUCGAUUUGGAGGUUGUGCCCUUGAGGCGUGGCUUCCGGAGCUAACGCGUUAAAUCGACCGCCUGGGGAGUACGGCCGCAAGGUUAAAACUCAAAUGAAUUGACGGGGGCCCGCACAAGCGGUGGAGCAUGUGGUUUAAUUCGAUGCAACGCGAAGAACCUUACCUGGUCUUGACAUCCACAGAACUUUCCAGAGAUGGAUUGGUGCCUUCGGGAACUGUGAGACAGGUGCUGCAUGGCUGUCGUCAGCUCGUGUUGUGAAAUGUUGGGUUAAGUCCCGCAACGAGCGCAACCCUUAUCCUUUGUUGCCAGCGGUCCGGCCGGGAACUCAAAGGAGACUGCCAGUGAUAAACUGGAGGAAGGUGGGGAUGACGUCAAGUCAUCAUGGCCCUUACGACCAGGGCUACACACGUGCUACAAUGGCAUAUACAAAGAGAAGCGACCUCGCGAGAGCAAGCGGACCUCAUAAAGUAUGUCGUAGUCCGGAUUGGAGUCUGCAACUCGACUCCAUGAAGUCGGAAUCGCUAGUAAUCGUAGAUCAGAAUGCUACGGUGAAUACGUUCCCGGGCCUUGUACACACCGCCCGUCACACCAUGGGAGUGGGUUGCAAAAGAAGUAGGUAGCUUAACCUUCGGGAGGGCGCUUACCACUUUGUGAUUCAUGACUGGG
rnacentral:rRNA from 1 species